AGAAUGACUCUCGGCAACGGAUAUCUCGGCUCUUGCAUCGAUGAAGAACGUAGCGAAAUGCGAUACUUGGUGUGAAUUGCAGAAUCCCGUGAACCAUCGAGUCUUUGAACGCAAGUUGCGCCUGAGGCCACUAGGUNGAGGGCACGUCUGCCUGGGCGUCACAC
rnacentral:rRNA from 1 species